rnacentral:lncRNA from 1 species
AUAUCUUAUCUCUUCAUCCUUCUACCUCAAUUUAACAUUAUGAAAGGGAUCUAAAACACACGUAUCAAUAUUUUCUUGCCUUUUGCACCUCUUUAGUUAUAUCUUAUCUCUUCAUCCUUCUACCUGUUUCAAACAGAAACACACAGAAACAGCUCCUUAAAACAGCAUGACAGCUCCUUUAAACAGCAUGACAGCUCCUUUAAACAGGAUGAGAAAUUUCAC